ACGGGUGAGUAACACGUAGGUAACCUACCCUUCAGUGGGGGACAACAGAGGGAAACUUCUGCUAAUACCGCAUACGAUCACGGACUGGGAUGUUCGUGGUGAAAGGAUUUAUUCGCUGAGGGAUGGGCCUGCGGCCUAUCAGGUAGUUGGUGGGGUAAUGGCCUACCAAGCCUGCGACGGGUAGCCGGACUGAGAGGUCGAUCGGCCACACUGGAACUGAGACACGGUCCAGACUCCUACGGGAGGCAGCAGUGGGGAAUAUUGCACAAUGGGGGGAACCCUGAUGCAGCGACGCCGCGUGGAGGAUGACGGCCUUCGGGUUGUAAACUCCUUUUGUCGGGGACAAUGGUGAUGGUACCCGACGAAUAAGCCACGGCUAACUCUGUGCCAGCAGCCGCGGUAAGACAGAGGUGGCGAGCGUUGUUCGGAAUUACUGGGCUUAAAGGGCGCGUAGGCGGUGGUGUAAGUCUAGGGUGGAAUGCUACAGCUCAACUGUAGAGCUGCCUUGGAAACUGCAUUACUUGAGUCGGUGAGGGGAAGGUGGAAUUCCAGGU
rnacentral:rRNA from 1 species